GCUGCGUGGCUCAGUGUCGAACGGGUGAGUAACCGUGAGCAACCUGCCCCCUACUUCGGGAUAAGCCUUGGAAACGGGGUCUAAUACCGGAUAUGAACGCUUGCCGCAUGGUGGGUGUUGGAAAGUUUUUCGGUGGGGGAUGGGCUCGCGGCCUAUCAGCUUGUUGGUGGGGUAAUGGCCUACCAAGGCGUCGACGGGUAGCCGGCCUGAGAGGGCGACCGGCCACACUGGGACUGAGACACGGCCCAGACUCCUACGGGAGGCAGCAGUGGGGAAUAUUGCACAAUGGGCGAAAGCCUGAUGCAGCGACGCCACGUGAGGGAUGACGGCCUUCGGGUUGUAAACCUCUUUCAGCAGGGAAGAAGCGCAAGUGACGGUACCUGCAGAAGAAGCGCCGGCUAACUACGUGCCAGCAGCCGCGGUAAUACGUAGGGCGCAAGCGUUGUCCGGAAUUAUUGGGCGUAAAGAGCUCGUAGGCGGUCUGUCGCGUCUGGUGUGAAAUCCCAUGGCUCAACUGUGGGCUUGCAUCGGGUACGGGCAGACUAGAGUACUGUAGGGGAGACUGGAAUUCCUGGUGUAGCGGUGGAAUGCGCAGAUAUCAGGAGGAACACCGAUGGCGAAGGCAGGUCUCUGGGCAGUUACUGACGCUGAGGAGCGAAAGCAUGGGGAGCGAACAGGAUUAGAUACCCUGGUAGUCCAUGCCGUAAACGUUGGGCACUAGGUGUGGGGCCAGUUCCACUGGUUCUGUGCCGUAGCUAACGCAUUAAGUGCCCCGCCUGGGGAGUACGGGCCGCAAGGCUAAAACUCAAAGGAAUUGACGGGGGCCCGCACAAGCGGCGGAGCAUGCGGAUUAAUUCGAUGCAACGCGAAGAACCUUACCAAGGCUUGACAUGUACGAGAAAGCCCCAGAGAUGGGGUUCUCUUUGGACACUCGUACACAGGUGUGCAUGCUUGUCGUCAGCUCGUGUCGUGAGAUGUUGGGUUAAGUCCCGCAACGAGCGCACCCUUUAUCCUAUGUUGGCCAGCGGGUUUAUGCC
rnacentral:rRNA from 2 species